rnacentral:lncRNA from 1 species
UUUUUGUUUUUUUUUUGAGACGGAGUCUCGCUCUGUCGCCCAGGCUGGAGUGCAGUGGCCGGAUCUCAGCUCACUGCAAGCUCCGCCUCCCGGGUUCACGCCAUUCUCCUGCCUCAGCCUCCCGAGUAGCUGGGACUACAGGCGCCCACCACCUCGCCUGGCUAGUUUUUUGUAUUUUUUAGUAGAGACGGGGUUUCACCAUGUUAGCCAGGAUAGUCUCGAUCUCCUGACCUCGUGACCCACCCGUCUCGGCCUCCCAAAGUGCUGGGAUUACAGGCUUGAGCCACCGCGCCCGGCCAAGAAUAAUAGCUAUGAUUGUUAUAUCAUCAUAGCUACAUUAUAUGUCAUAUGAUAUGAUAUAUAACACAUUAUUAUUAUUACUACUUGUUUUUGAGACAGAGCCUCACUGUGUGGUCCAGGCUGGAGUGCAGUGUCACGAUCUCUGCUCACUGUAACCUCUGCCUCCCAGGUUCAAGCAAUUCUUCUGCCUCAGCCUCCUGAGUAGCUGGGACUACAGGUGCGGGCCACCAUGCCUGGCUAAUAUUUGUAUUUUUAGUAGAGACAGGGUUUCACGAUGUUGGCCAGGCUGGUCUCGAACUCCUGACCUCAAAUGUCCACCCACCUCAGCCUCCCAGAGUGUUGGGAUUAUAGGUGUGAGCCACCACGCCCAGCUCAAGCUGUGUUCUUGUCUGGGACUCCCCUAUAGUAUAGAGUGGAGGCUCAAAGUUGGUUUGUCUAACUAAAGGCGUCAUCCUUGAUUAUGACCUCUGACAUCUAGAGAGUGCCAGAAUUCCCUAGGCUGCACUUGGUCAGGAACAUGCACCCUAGUGUUUCAAUCUCCAAACAUUAACAUUUUGCCUAACAACCAAACUAUUCAGAUUCAGGUUCCUUUAGUAAUGCCUAUUUCCUCCCCCGACCCCACACAGCAAGCGGGCUGUACGCUUCAUUCUCGUUAGCAGGACUAAACAUCUCUGCUACACUUGGUACCAGGCUAGCCGGUUGGAGGACCCCUAAUUUUCUGCCUCCUAAUUCUAACAGUUGACCCAUGUGUACUCACCUUCAUAUCCUGCUUUAUCUCCCAAAGGCUGAACUCCGUUGUUCAGGCAACCACCCAGAAACACAUGAAUACUAUCAUUCUCCUCCACCAAGUCCAGUAUCCGCACCUCAAGGAAAACAGCUCUGAAGUGGAAUGCCCACUGCUUCGAAACCCAAAUGCUGAGUACAGCGCCCCUAUUCAGAAGGAAGCAGCCAAUCAGCAACACCCCUCUUCCUUUUAUAUUAAAGUAAAAGGCAAAAAUGUUAGUCCAAACUGUACCAUGUUGUAAGCUCCCUGCUAUUUUGCAGACCUCGCUCAAAGUGAAACAUUUCACAGAGGUUCAGGCGGUGAGAAACAUCCUACCUAACCACCUGACCACAGGGCAGACAAAGCCUAACUAAAGAAACAUCCCUGGCCUGGCACGGCGGCUCACACCUGUAAUCCCAGCAUUGCCGGAGGCUGAGGCGGGCAGAUCACUUGAGGUCAGGAGUUCGAGAUCA